UGCUAUUGCCGACUACCGCCCACAAUAGCACGAGCAGUACAACCUUCAAGAAAUCCCUCUUUCCUCUCCUAGGGCUUCAGAGGUUCAGCUCCUUCAACCUUCGGCUCUAGGGUUCGGCUUCUCUGGUACAGUACUCCAGAGGGCUAAGGAAUAAGAGGGUAUAUUAACUCCUAAGUUACGAAACUGAGAGUUUAAAUAAACUCUGCUUAGGAGGUGACCCUUGGAGAGGCGGCACCCUCUCCUUCCUCCUUGCUUCCAAAGCCUACAGCUGCCCUUUCCCUCUGGCCCGCUGGGCUUGUCCUUUCAACCUGGGUGAGAGGUGGCAGACUCCCAUUUUGCAUGGAUGAGGGCCCAACAGCUGGCCUUCCCCGAUACGGCCCCAUUAACGACCUGGCGCAAAUACCCUUAAACUGGGCCUCAAAAGUAUUGAGCCUAGUUAGUAUCAGGCCCGGACAUUUAUUCUUUCCCUCUUAAAUAAAUUUCAUCCUCGAAAUUAAUCAUGCCUCAAUUUUUAGGUAUGCAAUGUAAUUCUCUAGAAAAACUGACUGAAAUAAAGAAAUGUGAAUAGCCAGAAUCAAACAAAAUCCAUGGUAAAUCCUAAACCAUUGAGCUUAAAAGGUUGCUAUAUAGAAUUUCUUUGGAGGCUUAUUUCGUCAGAUGCUAAGACUAUUUCUCUGGUUCUUCAUAUAAAGAGUUUGGAUUGUUUUAUUGCUUCUAUAUCUCUCAUCUUGCUUGGUUGUUGUACAUAGAUUUGUGCUGGUUGUUGUCUCAGUUCGCUGCCAUUGCUUGCUCCAUUUGAUGACAUGUGAACGAUGGUCAUCAAAUUCUGAGCAAACUUUUUUUGGUUCCGUUAGCCUUGGUGAUUCAAUUGGUUGUCCACCUGCUUUAAUUUGUUGUUGCUCGCACCACGUUUGUAGAAUGCCCCAACAUCUAUUUGAUGUUGGCAUUAUGGGGUUAUGUAUGCUAUUUUUUGCCUUUGUGACUGAGACACAUAUAACUUUAGUAUUUUCAUGGAUCGAUUAUAGUAAUUUCUAUGCUUUUGUUGCCUCUUGCUGUGAACUUUGAAUGAUAUGAUCAAGCCUUUCAUGGUGGAUGCUGUUUGUAGGUCACUGUUGGUCUAGACUAUGGAUGAAAUAGUUUGGUCAUCUCAUGGUCAUCUCAUCUUAUAGGGGCUAGAUUCGUGAUUUUCUGUGGAAAUUGUCGAUAAAUCCUAACCAUUGAUGUCUCUUUAGCAAGCAUAUCUGAUUGGUAGAACAACAUGCUCAGGUCGAAAAACUGUCCGAUUGCAGUAUUUCUUGAAGUUUGUAAGUAUAUUUUGAUUUAUUUGCCAAUACUUUGUCACAGUAUUACUUUUAUUGCUUAAGGCUGUGAUUUCUUGAAUCAGAUUAACUUUUUGGUCUGUUACUGACGUUCAACAAGCAUCAAUAGUGCUGGACACCAAUUUUUAGACUGGUAUACUAGAUUAAAUUAUCCAUUUGUUGCUGACCUGUUCUGACCAGAUCUUGAUUUGAAAGCAUUGGUAGGUUGUGAGUUGAGAGGGAACCCUCUUGAGUAAUAUUCGGAUUUGCAGUAAACCUUAUUUAUUUGUUGCACUAGACCUGUUUAUCUAAUGCUGGAGAUUAUGUGAACUUGUCAUGUAAGACAUAAGGUUCAAAAUGGUAUUUAUAAUGGUUCCAAGAAUUAGGAGCAUGGGCGGGCAUACAAUGUGACGGAUAAUCGCCUUCUCAAAGAACUGGUUCUUUUAUGUUGGUAAACAAGGCUCAACCUUCCACCUCUUCUUUCUCCUAGCUUUCUACUUGAGAGAGGAGGUGAGCAUCUAUAGUGAUUUCUCAGUUACCCUUCAAGCAUUGUUCCUUCUCCUUUUCUUCUUCGCUUUAUUGUGUAUGGAUGUAUUUAUGUAUGAAUAUUCAUGCAACAAGGGGUGACUUCUAAAAUUGUUCUUCUCUUCUUUGCAUGCCAUCUUCUCUAGCAAUAGGCGAGACAUAUAUGGAAGGUCUACUACAUUGCUGGCACCCGAUCUGCAUUCAUUGUAAGUUGGAGAGGUCAUCACCAGAGGAGAAGAGGUGCAGGGAUCUUCUCCUCUUUUUUGCGUGCAUGUAUAUUAAUGAGAUGAUGGGCAAGUUGUGAAAUUACUCCUCUUCUUUGCGUGUCAACUUCUCUAGCAAUAGGCGAGGAACUUCUGGAAGUGAAUUCAUUGGAUUUGGAGGCUGAUGAUAGUUUCAAGAUAAAGAUGGUAUCGAUAAAGGUACGAUUUUGACUUCGAGAACCCAAAUUCUCAAAGUUUCUAUUUUGCUUGUCAAAAAUCAGGAGUUGUUUGCUCAAUACUCGAAUGUGUCACAUUUUUACAUUUUCUCCUUGACAAAAUCCCGACCAUAAAUACAUGGGCUCUUUUACAUGAACUACCAGUUUAUGUGUGAAUCUUAUUGUGCUUUUUUUUUUCUGCAAUUCUUUUACGUCUCUUGUUAUAAAGUUAUCUGAAAUGCCUGCUUCACCAUUGGAUAACUUUUUCUCGCAUUUGUUGCGAUUGGCUAAUUAAGUUAAUAUGUUUUUUCAUUUUUAUUUCUGCUCUCAUUUAAUUUGGGAAGCUGUGGUGUUUUUCUAACAUUUACAUCCUUGUUUUCUAUAAAUCAUGACAGUGACACCUCUACUUUUGCUCCCAUUUUUAUGUGCUGUGUAUGUUGCUUAAUAUUUUAUUUGACAAAUGUGGUUGGUUCUCUUAGUACACUUUCAAAUAGUAUCAUAUGCAGUUCCCAUGAGAUAAUGACAUGAUCUUCUGAAAAUGCAUUUGCAUAAUCUCAGAACCGAACUAUUAGACUAAUCCCUGUAUAGCUCCUAUGCCUUUUUAUAUUAGAUCAAGUUCAGAACCAGAAGAAUUUCUCUUUGUUUUGUCUGCUGGCCAUCAGUUAUGGUUAUAUCCUUGUGACAUACUGUGUGGUAAUUCCAAUCCUUCAAUCAUUUAAUCAUUUUUUGUUAACCUUGUUGGUUACAUUGAUCAGCAUGACUUUCCAUUGGCUUGGAAAACAUUUCUGCAUGUUGUUCUGGAUACUUUACCAUUUCUUUUUCAACCUCUCUUUCUCUUUAAUUUUCAUGAUUUCAUGCCUGAGCAUGUUUGUUAAUGUAUUACGUGCGGGCGGGGCUUGGUGCAAUGGUAAGGUUGCUCCAUUUGACCUGUGCAUCAUGUAUUCGAAACACCUCAGAUGCUAAGUGGCAGAAACCUUGAGGAUGCCUUUUUUUGUUUUCUUGAAUGUAUUAUGUAUCAUAAAGGUAAGGCUUGUGAUAUGUCGGGAUGAUUAUAUUCUAUUAAGUUGUGAAUGAUUGUUUUAUGAUUAUUAUUUUUUAGGAUGUAGUCUUAUCUUCUAAAGUUCAAAUGGACCAACAAUUAGCAUAUCUGGUUGACUCGGUGAUUUAUUUUUCGAACUGAGGUUGGCUCGUUACAAAGCCAAAUAUUGUGUAUUCUAGGUAAAUUGUCUGUUUUGGUUUCUUAGGACUCACUUCUCGUAGGCUAAACAUGAUUCCUUUUUUGGCUUCCAAAAAGGCUCCAUUUAUUUUUAUACAAGAAUUGACUUGUGUCUGGCCUGUAGUGGAUAUAGCUUUGUGUUCUUUAUUAUUGGAAGCCAUUCUUUUCUUUUCUUUUUCUUUUUUCUAACAUUUUUAAUAUGUUUUUCUUUUUUUAAUAAAAAACGUUGUCUUCUUGCACCUUCCAUGCUAGACCUAAUGAUUUCUAUUGAACACAGAUAAUUCCUUGACCUGUACGUGGUUUGACGGCCAUACUCUUUCUGGUUCCCUUUAGAUGAGAUGAAGUUGCUUGAUUCCACCUAGUUUGAGACUAAGUUUGUUUAAUUUAUUUACAUAAAUAGUACACUUGUAUUGCGUUCAGAUGAGAAUGUACUUGCUUGAGUUUCUAUUGUCCGCCGGCCUUUGUAGUUUAGGUAAUUAUGGAUAGCCACUCUCUUUUCCAGCUAUCCCUUUUUAACCACAACUUUUAUGUUGAUUAUGCACUUUGCAUUCCGCUUUAUUCAUGGUAAAUCUACUUCAUCAGUUUUUGUGGCUCGGACCUUCAAACUGCAUCAUCCUAGAAUUUUACCAAACUCAUAAAAACUGUUCAAGUAUAUUCGUGUCUGCUGUUGUCUUACUUAUCUAUUUAUCUUCCGAGCUAUUGCUGACCCUAUGCAGCAGCUAAAGUCCGAACCUUUUGGGUGAUGAUGACAUCUUUACUCCUUUCUUUGAUAGCCUUUAAAUGAAAUAUUACAGCUCCUAGUCAUCUUAUCUUAUAGGGGCUUGAUUCGUGAUUUUCUGUGGAAGCUGUCCUCGAUAAAUCCUAACCAUUGAUGUCUCUUUAGCAAGCAUAUCUGAUUGGUGGAACAGCGUGCUCAGGUGAGGCAUUUUUGGAAGGUCUACUACACUGCUGACAACCAAUCUGCAUUCAUUAAUUCAUAUGAUUUGGAGGCUGAUGAUAGUUUCGAGAUAAAGAUGGUAUCAAUAAAGGGUGUAGCCAUAUCUGCUGAAGUUCAAAUGGACCAACAAUAAGCAUAUGUUGGUUGACUCUGAUUUAUUUUUGGAUCUGAGAUUGACUUGUUACAAAGCCAAAUAUCGUGUAUUCUAGGGGCUAGAUUCGUGAUUUUCUGUGGAAGCUGUCCUUGAUAAAUCCUAACCAUUGAUGUCUCUUAAGCAAGCAUAUCUAAUUGGUGGAACAACAUGCAAAGGUCGAAAAACUGUCCGAUCGCAGUAUUUCUUUAAGUACUACUGGUAGGUUGUGAGCUGGGAGGGAACCCUCUUGAGUCAUAUUCAGAUUUGCGGUAAACCUUAUUUAUUUAUUGCAGUAGACCUGAUUAUCUAAUGCUCAA